UAGGGAAUCUUCGGCAAUGGACGGAAGUCUGACCGAGCAACGCCGCGUGAGUGAAGAAGGUUUUCGGAUCGUAAAGCUCUGUUGUAAGAGAAGAACGAGUGUGAGAGUGGAAAGUUCACACUGUGACGGUAUCUUACCAGAAAGGGACGGCUAACUACGUGCCAGCAGCCGCGGUAAUACGUAGGUCCCGAGCGUUGUCCGGAUUUAUUGGGCGUAAAGCGAGCGCAGGUGGUUAGAUAAGUCUGAAGUGAAAGGCAGUGGCUCAACCAUUGUAGGCUUUGGAAACUGUUUAACUUGAGUGCAGAAGGGGAGAGUGGAAUUCCAUGUGUAGCGGUGAAAUGCGUAGAUAUAUGGAGGAACACCGGUGGCGAAAGCGGCUCUCUGGUCUGUAACUGACGCUGAGGCUCGAAAGCGUGGGGAGCGAACAGGAUUAGAUACCCUGGUAGUCCACGCCGUAAACGAUGAGUGCUAGGUGUUAGACCCUUUCCGGGGUUUAGUGCCGUAGCUAACGCAUUAAGCACUCCGCCUGGGGAGUACGACCGCAAGGUUG
rnacentral:rRNA from 1 species